GAGACUCUGUGCGCGUGCAUAUCAAUAAGCGGAGGAAAAGAAACUAACAAGGAUUCCCUUAGUAACGGCGAGUGAAGCGGGAAGAGCUCAAAUUUGAAAUCUUCAAGGUUCUACCUUGACGAAUUGUAGUUUAUAGAAGUGUUUUCUGUUAGUAGAGUGGCAAAAGUUCUUUGGAAUAGGACAUCAUAGAGGGUGAGAAUCCCGUAUUUGGUCAUUCUUUCUAGCUUUGUGAUACACUUUCAACGAGUCGGAUUGUUUGGGAAUGCAGUCCAAAAUGGGUGGUAAAUUUCAUCUAAAGCUAAAUAUUGGCGAGAGACCGAUAGCGAACAAGUACCGUGAGGGAAAGAUGAAAAGAACUUUGAAAAGAGAGUUAAACAGUACGUGAAAUUGUCAAAAGGGAAGCGUUUGACACCAGUGUUGUUUUUCCGAAAAUCAAUUACGAAUGUUUUAUUUUUGAGAAGUUAUGACUUCAUCGGCUUGCUUCUCUCUUUAUGAAACUUUCUUAAUGCACUUUUCGGUUAACAAGUCAACAUCAAUUUCUUUUGUUGUAAAAGGGUAUGAGGAAGGUGGCUUUCUUUUCGGAGAAAGUGUUUAUAGCCUUGUAGCCUCUAGCAAUCGGAGAGAUUGAGGUCUGCAGCGUAGAUCCUUCGGGGUUAGAUACAGUUUGUGCUAAGUUAUAGCUUUUCAUAGACAACUUGUUGACUAUAUUUAGUCUUGUAGGCUUACUCGCUUAUGCUAUUUUACCUACGCUUAGGAUGUUGACGAUCAGCUGAGCGCG
rnacentral:rRNA from 1 species